AACGAACGCUGGCGGCGUGCCUAACACAUGCAAGUCGAACGCGAACGGGUCUUCGGACCCUAGUAGAGUGGCGCACGGGUGAGUAACACGUGGGCAAUCUACCCAGGGAUUUGGGGAUAACCAGGGGAAACCCUGGCUAAUACCGAAUACGUCCAUGAGGCCUUCGGUCCUCAUGGAGAAAGGUGGCCUCUUCUCGAAAGCUGCCGUUCCUGGAUGAGCCCGCGGACCAUUAGCUUGUUGGUGAGGUAACGGCUCACCAAGGCCAUGAUGGUUAGCUGGUCUGAGAGGAUGAUCAGCCACACUGGGACUGACACACGGCCCAGACUCCUACGGGAGGCAGCAGUGGGGAAUCUUGCGCAAUGGGGGAAACCCUGACGCAGCAACGCCGCGUGGGUGAUGAAGGCCCUUGGGUCGUAAAGCCCUGUCUGGAGGAAAGAAUCCCGCUCUCGCUAAUACCGGGAGUGGAUGACGGUACCUCUGAAGGAAGCACCGGCUAACUCCGUGCCAG
rnacentral:rRNA from 1 species